AUGCUUGAUUGAACCGCAUGGUUCAAUUAUAAAAGGUGGCUUUUACCUACCACUUACAAAUGGACCCGCGGCGCAUUACCUAGUUGGUGAGGUAACGGCUCACCAAGGCAACAAUGCGUACCCAACCUGAAAGGGUGAUCGGCCACACUGGGACUGAAACACGGCCCAAACUCCUACGGGAGGCAGCAGUAGGGAAUCUUCCGCAAUGGACAAAAGUCUGACGGACCAACCCCGCGUGAGUGAUGAAGGUUUUCGGAUCGUAAAACUCUGUUGUUAGGGAAAAACAAGUACCGUUCGAAUAGGGCGGUACCUUGACGGUACCUAACCAAAAAGCCACGGCUAACUACGUGCCACCACCCGCGGUAAUACGUAGGUGGCAAGCGUUGUCCGGAAUUAUUGGGCGUAAAGCGCGCGCAGGCGGUUUCUUAAGUCUGAUGUGAAAGCCCCCGGCUCACCCGGGGAGGGUCAUUGGAAACUGGGGAACUUGAGUGCAAAAAAGGAGAGUGAAAUUCCACGUGUAGCGGUGAAAUGCGUAGAGAUGUGAAGAAACACCAGUGGCGAAGGCGACUCUCUGGUCUGUAACUGACGCUGAGGCGCGAAAGCGUGGGAGCGAACAGGAUUAGAUACCCUGGUAGUCCACGCCGUAAACGAUGAGUGCUAAGUGUUAGAGGGUUUCCGCCCUUUAGUGCUGCAGCAAACGCAUUAAGCACUCCGCCUGGGGAGUACGGUCGCAAGACUGAAACUCAAAGGAAUUGACGGGGGCCCGCACAAGCGGUGGAGCAUGUGGUUUAAUUCGAAGCAACGCGAAGAACCUUACCAGGUCUUGACAUCCUCUGACAACCCUAGAGAUAGGGCUUCCCCUUCGGGGGCAGAGUGACAGGUGGUGCAUGGUUGUCGUCAGCUCGUGUCGUGAGAUGUUGGGUUAAGUCCCGCAACGAGCGCAACCCUUGAUCUUAGUUGCCAGCAUUCAGUUGGGCACUCUAAGGUGACUGCCGGUGACAAACCGGAGGAAGGUGGGGGACGUCAAAUCAUCAUGCCCCUUAUGACCUGGGCUACACACGUGCUACAAUGGGCAGAACAAAGGGCAGCGAAGCCGCGAGGCUAAGCCAAUCCCACAAAUCUGUUCUCAGUUCGGAUCGCAGUCUGCAACUCG
rnacentral:rRNA from 1 species